AUUGAACGCUGGCGGCAUGCCUUACACAUGCAAGUCGAACGGUAACAGGUCUUUCGGGAUGCUGACGAGUGGCGAACGGGUGAGUAAUACAUCGGAACGUGCCUAGUAGUGGGGGAUAACUACUCGAAAGAGUGGCUAAUACCGCAUGAGCUCUAUGGAUGAACGCAGGGGACCUUCGGGCCUUGUGCUACUAGAGCGGCCGAUGGCAGAUUAGGUAGUUGGUGGGAUAAAAGCUUACCAAGCCUACGAUCUGUAGCUGGUCUGAGAGGACGAUCAGCCACACUGGGACUGAGACACGGCCCAGACUCCUACGGGAGGCAGCAGUGGGGAAUUUUGGACAAUGGGCGCAAGCCUGAUCCAGCAAUGCCGCGUGCAGGAUGAAGGCCUUCGGGUUGUAAACUGCUUUUGUACGGAACGAAAAGUCUUGGGUUAAUACCCUGGGAUCAUGACGGUACCGUAAGAAUAAGCACCGGCUAACUACGUGCCAGCCGCCGCCGUAA
rnacentral:rRNA from 1 species